UUAAAAUGAGAGUUUGAUCCUGGCUCAGGRCGAACGCUGGCGGCGUGCCUAAUACAUGCAAGUCGAGCGAGCGGAACUAACAGAUUUACUUCGGUAAUGACGUUAGGAAAGCGAGCGGCGGAUGGGUGAGUAACACGUGGGGAACCUGCCCCAUAGUCUGGGAUACCACUUGGAAACAGGUGCUAAUACCGGAUAAGAAAGCAGAUCGCAUGAUCAGCUUUUAAAAGGCGGCGUAAGCUGUCGCUAUGGGAUGGCCCCGCGGUGCAUUAGCUAGUUGGUAAGGUAAAGGCUUACCAAGGCGAUGAUGCAUAGCCGAGUUGAGAGACUGAUCGGCCACAUUGGGACUGAGACACGGCCCAAACUCCUACGGGAGGCAGCAGUAGGGAAUCUUCCACAAUGGACGCAAGUCUGAUGGAGCAACGCCGCGUGAGUGAAGAAGGUUUUCGGAUCGUAAAGCUCUGUUGUUGGUGAAGAAGGAUAGAGGUAGUAACUGGCCUUUAUUUGACGGUAAUCAACCAGAAAGUCACGGCUAACUACGUGCCAGCAGCCGCGGUAAUACGUAGGUGGCAAGCGUUGUCCGGAUUUAUUGGGCGUAAAGCGAGCGCAGGCGGAAGAAUAAGUCUGAUGUGAAAGCCCUCGGCUUAACCGAGGAACUGCAUCGGAAACUGUUUUUCUUGAGUGCAGAAGAGGAGAGUGGAACUCCAUGUGUAGCGGUGGAAUGCGUAGAUAUAUGGAAGAACACCAGUGGCGAAGGCGGCUCUCUGGUCUGCAACUGACGCUGAGGCUCGAAAGCAUGGGUAGCGAACAGGAUUAGAUACCCUGGUAGUCCAUGCCGUAAACGAUGAGUGCUAAGUGUUGGGAGGUUUCCGYCUCUCAGUGCUGCAGCUAACGCAUUAAGCACUCCGCCUGGGGAGUACGACCGCAAGGUUGAAACUCAAAGGAAUUGACGGGGGCCCGCACAAGCGGUGGAGCAUGUGGUUUAAUUCGAAGCAACGCGAAGAACCUUACCAGGUCUUGACAUCUAGUGCCAUUUGUAGAGAUACAAAGUUCCCUUCGGGGACGCUAAGACAGGUGGUGCAUGGCUGUCGUCAGCUCGUGUCGUGAGAUGUUGGGUUAAGUCCCGCAACGAGCGCAACCCUUGUUAUUAGUUGCCAGCAUUAAGUUGGGCACUCUAAUGAGACUGCCGGUGACAAACCGGAGGAAGGUGGGGAUGACGUCAAGUCAUCAUGCCCCUUAUGACCUGGGCUACACACGUGCUACAAUGGGCAGUACAACGAGAAGCGAGCCUGCGAAGGCAAGCGAAUCUCUGAAAGCUGUUCUCAGUUCGGACUGCAGUCUGCAACUCGACUGCACGAAGCUGGAAUCGCUAGUAAUCGCGGAUCAGCACGCCGCGGUGAAUACGUUCCCGGGCCUUGUACACACCGCCCGUCACACCAUGGGAGUCUGCAAUGCCCAAAGCCGGUGGCCUAACCUUCGGGAAGGAGCCGUCUAAGGCAGGGCAGAUGACUGGGGUGAAGUCGUAACAAGGUAGCCGUAGGAGAACCUGCGGCUGGAUCACCUCCUUUCUAAGGAA
rnacentral:rRNA from 1 species